GACGAACGCUGGCGGCGUGCUUAACACAUGCAAGUCGAACGGAAAGGCCCUGCUUUUGUGGGGUGCUCGAGUGGCGAACGGGUGAGUAACACGUGAGUAACCUGCCCUUGACUUUGGGAUAACUUCAGGAAACUGGGGGUAAUAACGGAUAGGAGCUCCUGCUGCAUGGUGGGGGGUGGAAAGGUUCGGCGGUUGGGGAUGGACUCGCGGCUUAUCAGCUUGUUGGUGGGGUAGUGGCUUACCAAGGCUUUGACGGGUAGCCGGCCUGAGAGGGUGACCGGCCACAUUGGGACUGAGAUACGGCCCAGACUCCUACGGGAGGCAGCAGUGGGGAAUAUUGCACAAUGGGCGGAAGCCUGAUGCAGCAACGCCGCGUGCGGGAUGACGGCCUUCGGGUUGUAAACCGCUUUCGCCUGUGACGAAGCGUGAGUGACGGUAAUGGGUAAAGAAGCACCGGCUAACUACGUG
rnacentral:rRNA from 1 species